AGUUUCCUUUGGGGUCGGUACAAGACACGAUGACACAAUAUGAAAUAUGAAUUACGUCAUGAAGUCGUAUCGCCACCAUGCACUAAUCUUGGUUACUAAAUCUUAGACUACUUCAUUUUUCCAUGUCGUCAAUAUACCCCAAAUUAAACUUUUAUUUUAAAAUAUAUCGAAAAUAUUGGACAGAUGCAUUGAGCAGAACCUAGAUCGUGUUCUCUUAACAGAACUGGUUUGAGAAGCUACCGGCCGAGGUGAACGCAAGGUAUAGGGUUAUGAAGUGAGGGCAAAAUAUCAUAACGUCGCCGAAACUCUUAAUUUUCAUUGUAGGUAAGGCUGAUGAGAGGCGACAUCUGCCAGAUACUAACGAACGGCCAAUUUGUUUCUUUCUCAGAUGUGUGUGCCAUCCCGGGUUGCAACAUUCCUAAUGGCUGCUCUGACGGUCUUGCUAAGAACAAAUAUGGAUGCGAAAUUUGUGAAUGUGCAGGUGCUGGAAGAAUCACUGUUGGAUUCGCCAGUCUUCUGGUCAUUGCGUUCACGUUGCUCUCCAAUUUGAUAUAAAUUCUGACACCUUUAUUUGCAGGAAGAAAAAUCGUUCCAUUACACUCUCAAUUUCGGAGUUUUGUUGUAGUAGAAAAAAAAAGGUUUCAGUGAAUUGUAGCUUGUAAAGCAUGAAAGGUACCUGAAGGGCGCCUGUUGAUUUCCAAGAGCGAUUAACGAUUAACUGUAAACCUGUAAGCUCAAGUGUGUUUGAGAAUAUAGCGAGAAUGUCAGUU